CGGGCACUGCGCCACCGAUGACCGGGCAAGCCCUUCUCCGAGAAGGGCUUGCCCGGAUCGGGCCAAGGGUGCCCGC
rnacentral:tRNA from 1 species